rnacentral:rRNA from 1 species
GACGAACGCUGGCGGCGUGCUUAACACAUGCAAGUCGAACGGAAAGGCCCUGCUUUUGUGGGGUGCUCGAGUGGCGAACGGGUGAGUAACACGUGAGUAACCUGCCCUUGACUUUGGGAUAACUUCAGGAAACUGGGGCUAAUACCGGAUAGGAGCUCCUGCUGCAUGGUGGGGGUUGGAAAGUUUCGGCGGUUGGGGAUGGACUCGCGGCUUAUCAGCUUGUUGGUGGGGUAGUGGCUUACCAAGGCUUUGACGGGUAGCCGGCCUGAGAGGGUGACCGGCCACAUUGGGACUGAGAUACGGGCCAGAAUCCUACGGGGGGCAGGCGUGGGGAAUAUUGCACAAUGGGCGGAAGCCUGAUGCAGCAACGCCGCGUGCGGGAUGACGGCCUUCGGGUUGUAAACCGCUUUCGCCUGUGACGAAGCGUGAGUGACGGUAAUGGGUAAAGAAGCACCGGCUAACUACGUG